CCUACGGGCGGCAGCAGUGGGGAAUAUUGCACAAUGGGGGAAACCCUGAUGCAGCGACGCCGCGUGAAGGAUGAAGUAUUUCGGUAUGUAAACUUCUAUCAGCAGGGAAGAAAAUGACGGUACCUGACUAAGAAGCCCCGGCUAACUACAUGCCAGCAGCCGCGGUAAUACGUAGGGGGCGAGCGUUAUCCGGAUUUAUUGGGUUUAAAGGGUGUGUAGGCGGAAUAUCAAGUCAGCGGUAAAAAUUCGGGGCUCAACCCCGUCGUGCCGUUGAAACUGAUGUUCUUGAGUGGGCGAGAAGUAUGCGGAAUGCGUGGUGUAGCGGUGAAAUGCAUAGAUAUCACGCAGAACUCCGAUUGCGAAGGCAGCAUACCGGCGCCCAACUGACGCUGAAGCACGAAAGCGUGGGUAUCGAACAGGAUUAGAUACCCUUGUAGUC
rnacentral:rRNA from 1 species